AGGAACCUUAAGUGUUGUUUAAGUAUCAAAAAUAACCAAUAGCAGAUAGUGUCAGAAAGGAGUAUUUUUUAGUUUUUAUUUUGGUUGUUGUUAAAAAACUUUAAAUGGAGAUGACAAGAUCGGGACCUCAUCUGGUGCCUUGCUUCCAGAAAAGACAGUCCCUCGGGGGAAUGGAUCAAUGACCCUCACAUGCUUGUCUCUCUUGGGGCAGUGAGUUGUUCUUUUCUGAACAUCACCCAGGGACCCUGGGAUUCCAAGUAAGAGAUAUCUAGACGCCAUAAACUGGAGCCUUAUGAGACAUCUGGAAUUAGAAGGAGUCUCUUGUCCUUUGGCCAAAAGUUCCAGGGAAAGUGACAUCUCCAAUCUAGGGAAGUUAAAGAUUUGGGGAAAAGGAGAAAAUCACCACAUUUAGUCAAGAUGUCUUACCCACAAAGUCAUUGAAGGGGAAUAAAUCUAUUUCGGAUAACCGUGAAUGGAACCUUUGAGACUGCUAUAACAUCCUGUUGCAAAGCGUGCAUUUAUAUAAAUGGAAAUAGAGUUUGCGGGUACUAAAACCUAAAUGAGACGUAAAGGAAGCACAUGCUCAUCUAAGAAUGUAAGGCCAGGGCAGGGGUGCUGGAUCCUAACUGGUAGUUCCCUUGAGUUCACACAUUUUGUGAGUUCUGUGUAAUGUACGUUUGCAGAGGGAAUUUUUUUUCAUAUUUCUUAGAAGGCCAUAACAUGGACCAGUUAACUGGUUUUAUUUUGAGUCACCCUGAGUGUACAGAAGCUGUAAUGUGGAUAAUAAACCAGGAGUUUUGCUGCACCAAUGUUGUAUCAACACUCUUGCUCUGAUGACUGCUGUCUGCUUGCCUCAGACGCAGGGCUUUCAGGCCUGUUGGAAAACAGAGUGGGGGAGAAGCUUCCUGAGAAGAUUUACUUCAUACAGCUGCCCCAGUUGGUCUUCCUACCAUGACUCGAGUCUACCUGAAGAC